rnacentral:misc_RNA from 1 species
GUGAAUCAUCAAAUUUUUGAACGCAAAUUGCACUCUCCUCGGAGAGUAUGCCUGUUUGAGGGCAGCCUAUAAAAAUCGGCAUUGGUGCUGUUUCGGGGUUGGGUUCGGCGGGAAUUGGGUCAUCUUAAAUCCUUUUGGUUUAAGCGACUUAAAAUUUUUUUUUUGUUUCAUUGACGUUUCUUAGAUCUAUUUCUUUACAAGUUUUAGGGAUUGAUUUUUACUUGACG